CCUUGGCGCAUGUGAUUAGAGGAUCACCAGGGGGUCCUUUGUCCCUCCUUGGGGGGAUACUCCCACUGGGUUUAAAUCUGGGACUCUCGGCCAUUUGACCUUAGAACUGAAGAAGCUUCUCGGAUGAGAGGUGAAACGUCUUCAAGCAACUCAAAGAAGUCCAGACGCUUUUCUUUGCAAACUCCUUUGACAGUGGAUACACUUGUCUCCCCUUUAAAGGAGAUACUCUUAGAGAGAGACGAUCCGAGUCAUCAUAAAAUAUGGGCAGGAUAUCAGUCUUGGACUGUCUAACCUGCAGGAGCAGCAUUGAAUGAUCACCACACAUGAGCAUGUUCCUGCAACAUUCAGCAUCUGAUCCUUCAUCUGUGUGCUGCUGCUUUUGUGUCAAUUGUCCAACAGCUGGAGAGGAAAAUACACCAGUAUACUGGGAUGUUUCAUCAACAUGUGCCAGACGCUGUUCCUUCAUGGUGACAUCACCAGAGACAGCCCCGCCCACCUCAGGACCCAUUGAUCAUGAGGAUUAUAAUGAUGACAGCGAGCGGAACUAAGACUGUAAAAAUCCACGACCAGAAUGUUUAGAUGCUUUCUAAUUAUUAAUGAAUACUGAGUUUUUGUCUCUCUCUUUUUUUUUUUUACCUCAUUUGUUACUAACAAAGUUCACCAAACUCACACAGUUUACAUUCUUUAUGUUUCCAUCUUUACCAGCCACAGUCUGCCUGCAAUUAAGAAAAUAAUCCUUAGAAAUCGUCGUUUUUCUCUUUUGUAAUUGAUGAUAAUUCAGUAAAUAUACUCUGCUGCUUCCUUUUGUUUCGUCUCACAUUGCUUUACGUUUUUCAGUGUCCAGUUAUUUUUUUACUGUUGUUUGAAUUCUCUGAAUGUUUGACGCUGUAGACUGUUUGAUGGACUGCUUGUCUUCCUGUUUUUAACCGCUGCCUGUUUUUGACUAAAGAUUUGGAUUUCUGACUUUAACACAGCCUCUGCGUGUCCUCCCUUUGUGUCCUCUUCCUCUGUGAAUGUGUUGCAUGUGUCACAGAUUCAUUUUAUUAACAGCUUUCCCACAGUGAGUUGCAUCAGCAUUCAUUCACAGCACCUUUCAGAAGGAUUCAGAUU
rnacentral:lncRNA from 1 species